CACCAGGAUGACCCAGCAGGUGCUGAAGAGUGGCAGGGUGGUUUGGAGAAAGCUCCUCUUCGUAGGUCAACACGGUGGCGCCAGGCAGCAGGACAACACACCCUAAACAUCCAGCCAGAGCUGAUUUGGUAUUGUUUAGAUCAAACGGUCCAGUCAAAGUCCCGACAUCAAUCCAACUUAAAAUCAAAACUUGAAAGGACUUGCCAUUCACCAGCAAUCCAGGCAUUUUGUGAGGCGUACAGUAUAGUGUAGUGUGUUACGGCCACAUUUGGCUCAUCUGUGAGUUUCCACGAAACGAGCGCCGUGUCUUCUUCAAUCAGCGUCACUUUGAUGUUGGAAGGAGGGAAAGUGUUUUGAUAGACCACAGGGCUCCAGGGGCUGGAGAGCUGGUCGAUAUGAAGGCGUACAGCAAAUUCAUACUUGGUGUUCGGCUCGAGAUCAUGCACAAGAAGGCUCUGUUCGCCUCUGCAGAGAGAAGACAUGACAGGUAGAGGACCAGCGAGGCGUUCUGCAGUCCUACUGGGUUGCAGCGGACAGUGUAGUUCAGUGCAUGGCUGGAGGUGAAGGCCGGU